UACGUAGGGGGCAAGCGUUGUCCGGAUUUAUUGGGCGUAAAGAGCUCGUAGGCGGCUUGGCAAGUCGGGUGUGAAAACUCGAGGCUCAACCUCGAGACGCCGGUGGAAACUGCAAAGCUAGAGUCCGGAAGAGGAGAGUGGAAUUCCUGGUGUAGCGGUGAAAUGCGCAGAUAUCAGGAAGAACACCCGUGGCGAAGGCGGCUCUCUGGGACGGUACUGACGCUGAGACGCGAAAGCGUGGGGAGCGAACAGG
rnacentral:rRNA from 1 species